GAUGAAGAACGCAGCGAAAUGCGAUAACUAAUGUGAAUUGCAGAAUUCCGUGAAUCAUCGAGUCUUUGAACGCACAUUGCGACCCCUGGUAUUCCGGGGGGCAUGCCUGUCCGAGCGUCAUUACAACCCUCAAGCCCGGCUUGUGUAAUGGGCGGCCGUCUCUCCCCCCGGGGGGAGACGCCCCCGAAACUCAGUGGGGAUGUCGCGAUACCGAAGCCUCAGCUAAUGGGUAAACCACAGCUGCAAUGGCCGCGGCCGGCGUCCGCCUUCCACGGUCCGUCCGCCUAGCGCGGGCGGCCUUCUCAAGGUUGACCUCGGAUCAGGUAGGGAUACCCGCUGAACUUAAGCAUAUCAAUAAGCGGAGGA
rnacentral:misc_RNA from 1 species